rnacentral:rRNA from 1 species
ACGAACGCUGGCGGCGUGCUUCACACAUGCAAGUCGAACGGAAAGGCCCUGCUUUUGUGGGGUGCUCGAGUGGCGAACGGGUGAGUAACACGUGAGUAACCUGCCCUUGACUUUGUGAUAACUUCAGGAAACUGGGGCUAAUACCGGAUAGGAGCUCCUGCUGCAUGGUGGGGGUUGGAAAGUUUCGGCGGUUGGGGAUGGACUCGCGGCUUAUCAGCUUGUUGGUGGGGUAGUGGCUUACCAAGGCUUUGACGGGUAGCCGGCCUGAGAGGGUGACCGGCCACAUUGGGACUGAGAUACGGCCCAGACUCCUACGGGAGGCAGCAGUGGGGAAUAUUGCACAAUGGGCGGAAGCCUGAUGCAGCAACGCCGCGUGCGGGAUGACGGCCUUCGGGUUGUAAACCGCUUUCGCCUGUGACGAAGCGUGAGUGGCGGUAAUGGGUAAAGAAGCACCGGCUAACUACGUG